GGCGAACGCUGGCGGCGUGCUUAACACAUGCAAGUCGAGCGGAAAGGCUCCUUCGGGGGUACUCGAGCGGCGAACGGGUGAGUAACACGUGAGUAAUCUGCCCUGCGCUCUGGGAUAGCCACCGGAAACGGUGAUUAAUACCGGAUAUGACCGCUACACGCAUGUGUUGGUGGUGGAAAGUUUUUCGGCGCAGGAUGUGCUCGCGGCCUAUCAGCUUGUUGGGGAGGUAAUGGGUCACCAAGGCUUUGACGGGUAGCCGGCCUGAGAGCGUGACCGGUAACACUGGGACUGAGAAAAGGCCCAGACUCCUACGGGAGGCAGCAGUGUGGAAUGUUGGACAAUGGGCGGAAGCCUGAUCCAGCAACGCCGCGUGAGGGAUGACGGCCUUCGGGUUGUAAACCUCUUUCAGUACCGACGAAGCGAAAGUGACGGUAGGUACAGAAGAAGGACCGGCCAACUACGUGCCAGCCGCCGCUGUAAUAC
rnacentral:rRNA from 1 species